UCCCUGGUGGUCCAGUGGUUAAGAAUUGCCUUCCAGUGCAAGGGAUACAGGUUCGAUCCCUGUUUAGGGAA
rfam:Ovis aries breed Texel chromosome 6, whole genome shotgun sequence.